rnacentral:tRNA from 2 species
CCUCUGUAGUUCAGUCGGUAGAACGGCGGACUGUUAAUCCGUAUGUCACUGGUUCGAGUCCAGUCAGAGGCU